ACGCGACCCCUCUCUCUCUUUUUCCUUUCCUCUCCUCCAACCCCGCCUCUUUCCCGCUGCUCCGCCGCCACCUCUUUCGCCGCCAAAUACACCGCGUGCCGCCGCCCGUUCCUGUGCCCUAUUCAUCUCCCGUCCCGAGCUCCACCUCGUCCUGCCUCAUAUCCCCCGAUCUUCUCGAUUUGGAUCUCGGGAGCACACGAGAGGGAGGCGAGGUGCCUGUUGCUGGGAGACGGGCGAUGAGGAGUCUCGGCCCUUGGAUCUUUCUGUCUCGCGGGGCCAGGCCUCCCGUCCACGCCGCGCCGCCGCCGGCAUGGAGGCCAUGGCUCGGGCAGCUGCCGCGGUGUCGGGUGCGCCGGCGAGGUAUCUGGGUAUGCGCGAUGGGCGUGACCUCUCCCGGCUCCCCGCCCUCGUCUGCGACAACGAGGACCAAGAUGCAUUUACGGUGUUGUCUGGUGCGUCCUCGGGUUUGGUUGAUCGAGGCUAGGUAUGCUCCUGAGGCUGAUGGAUGGAUGGAUGGAUGGAUGGAUGUGUGCACGCAUGUAUUUAGUAUGUACGUAUGGAUAUCAGGGUCAUGUUGCUGGGUGGGCAAAGACCGGGAGUACAACCUCCUUUUCGGUAAAAAAAUGAGGAGCGAUGAUGAUAACUCUGGCUGAAAUAAGCAUGGCUUGAGCAUUCAAGACUGCUGUAGCCUGUGGGUACUAAAUUAGAGCCCACCCUUACCUCUCUGGCAGCCUGUUCAACUCAUCGGUGAUGUUGGAUGUUCUGCACCUCGGAUGGUCAUUCUGACGAGUGAUAACCAGGGCAGUUCGUCUACACUGCGAUGGCCACCCUAAGCUUACAUGAAUUGAUUCAUGGUCGUGCUGGACAUUCCCCAUGACGCCGCCAGCGCCAACGGGCUUCCGCAUCUCACCCAACCAAGAGUUAUGAAGCUACUACUCACUUUGAGACAACUGUGACAGGUGUUCUUAGCACUUUUGGCAAAAAUGUUGACAUUUCUUCAGCUUUAUAUAUGCAUGAGUGAACCUAAUCUUUUCUGUUCAAAUACUAAAUGUUUUCCCUCAGUUUUUUGUCGUGCACCAGUUGGAAAGAUGAUAAAUUUAGAAGCUUCUUUCUCUUUUCUUUGGGACAUGGGUAUUGAUGCUAGUAUUUUCUACCAUUAUCUUAACCUUGGUAGACUGAUGGUUAGCGUCAGGCAACCGCAGAUUUUUAUUGAUUUUUAUAGUCCCCCUCUGUAUAAAUCUUAUAUUUGUUCUAUUCUCCAUGAGUGAAUAAUUACCUAACUGUUGUUAAUCUGAGUUUGCAUUUUCAUAUGUGUUCACCAAUUCGGCUUCUGGGUGGCAAGAUUAGCUGAUUUAAAGCAUUCUCUUUGGGCAAACAUUAGUCACUGCUAUCCAAAAAUCUGCAGAACAAGCUUGUUGUAUACUUGUUUUAACUUGCAUAUAAGGGGCAAAUAAGAACGAAUGGAAAAGGAACACCUAAGCUUUCUUUAGUUGUGCUCAUUUUACAUUAGUGGACAAAGUUACAUAAGUUUGCCUGUAGCACUACUGAUAUCAGCGAUUAAAUUUAGCUGCUUUUUAGUUCUAUAGGCUGAAAAUGAUGUUGAGGUUCUAAACAUACUGUUUGACUGGGUUUUCUUCUUGAUGUGCAGCUAAAUUAGUCUUCCAGUUUGUCAACUUAGAUGAUAAGAAUUAUAUAUUCGUGUGUAAUUUUCAUUUGCUGGCGCUGAAGACAUAGAUGGGUGUUUGGCGUCCUUUUUUCUUUCUCCAAUUAGACAUUGUUAGUGUUUGUAUGAAGAUACGACUAGAAAAAUUGCUCUGUUUGCUAGAUAACAUGUUCAGUUCUGGACGGUGGCACCUUUUAUUGUAUCCAAAUUUUGUUUACCUCUUUCCGAUUUGAUGCAAUGACUUAGUUACUUUGUACAUGUUGGGUUCUCCUGGGAAAAACCUUUGUAAUUGAUACUGAAAUGGCAGGAUAAUCAAGCUUCCUUUCUGUACUGGAAGAAGCCAAACAAUGUGUAGUUACACACUUCGAUGGUACCGUCUGUCGGGUUAGGGCGACCAUGAGCGAAGCUGUUCCCUUCUCUGGGACUAAAUCCGAUCCAGUCACCUAAGUCAAUGUCGUCUACUAGGGAAGGGACAUGUGCUUGGUCUCCAUGCUAGCUUAUACCUUAACACUGAUUUGCUGUCUCCAUUGCUUUAUGUUCACGUACAUGAGUGUAUUAGGGAAUAAAGCAGAAACACAUAUGUACAUACAGUCUGGGAGCGCAAGCUGUGAUACUGAUGCACCUCCUCUAUGAUAGGUGACUUUGAAUGUUCAUUUCAUCUUUUUUUGAGUUGUUGAUUGUUUUUGAGAUAGCUAACCGCUUAUUCCAAGCGGUCAUUUCAUCUUUCUUUAUCUUGCUAUGGUAGGCUGUGAGGCUGAUGCACCUCCUGGAUGAUAGCUGGCUUUGAAUGUUCAUUUCAUCUUUGCUUAUAACUCAGUAACACAACCACUGCUGGCCUUAUGCAGCAAGUCAACCCCACCAUCUCUGCCCCCCUUUUCAUGGCGGCUUUGGACGACAGAUGAAUCGAGGCUGUCCCUUUCGUCCACUCACAUCCUCAGUUAUUUCUCUUAUAUACAUACAAAUUAUUAUGGGCGAUGGCCAUGGUCUGUGAAUUCAGGCGUCGUCUGUCGAGGUGAUGUCGACUUAUUCAAGCAGAAGGUUCAUGAGAAAUGUAGUCACUGGUGUUUCUGCACUAGAGCAUUCAGAGUUGUAAGUGACUUUACUUUGGUGACUGAUAGUGCCAAAAGGCACUCAAAAUGUAAGAAAAGUUAUGUGAAGAGAAGCACAACACCUUUACUAUAAGGAUACGGAUUUAUUUAGUGACA